ensembl:misc_RNA Metazoa_SRP Metazoan signal recognition particle RNA
GCCAUGGUGGCACAUACCUCUAAUCCCGGCUCCUAGGGAGGCUGAGGCUGGUGGAUCUGGAGCUUGGGAAUUCUGAGGUGCAGUGGGCUAGGCCGAUCACAUGUGGGCACUAAGUUAGGCAUCAAAAAUGGAGAACCCCUAGGAGCAAGGGCUCCCAGCUUGCCUGAGAAGGGGGACAGAAUGGAAAUGGAGCAGAGUGAAGCUCCCAUGCCAGUCAGUAGUGGAGUCAGGCCCAUGAGUAGCUUCUGCACAUCCAGCCUGCAUAAACGAAAGACCCAGUCUUUA